AGAAAUAACAAUACAAGGCAAUUAAAAUGCUUUGUAAUUGGAAUGAUAGAAAUUUAAACCCUUUUUAAAGUAUCAAUUGGAGGGCAAGUCUGGUGCCAGCAGCCGCGGUAAUUCCAGCUCCAAUAGCGUAUAUUAAAAUUGUUGCAGUUAAAAAGCUCGUAGUUGAAGUUCUGCUAAAAGUAACCGGUCUGCUUUUAAUAAAAGUGGUAUCUUGGUGUGUAUUUAGCAAUGAUGUCCUUUGAAGUGUUUUUUACUUUAUUGUAAUAAAGCAUAUUCAGGACUUUUACUUUGAGAAAAUUAGAGUGUUUCUAGCAGGCUGACGCUUUGAAUACUGCAGCAUGGAAUAAUAAGAUAGGAUUUUAGUUCUACAUUAUUGGUUUUAAGAGCUAAAUUAAUGAUUGAUAGGGACAGUUGGGGGCAUUUGUAUUUAACUGUCAGAGGUGAAAUUCUUAGAUUUGUUAAAGACAAAC
rnacentral:rRNA from 1 species